rnacentral:pre_miRNA from 1 species
GAUCUACUCCCUCCGUUCGGAAUUACUUGUCUCGGAAAUGGAUGUAUCUAGAACUAAAAUACGUCUAGAUACAUCCAUUUCUGCGACAAGUAAUUCCAAACGGAGGGAGUAGUAA